AGUAGAAAAGACAAGCGGGCAAGGAUGUUUUUUGUCUUAAAAACUCAGUAUCAACCAAUGAGUGAUUUGAGCUUGGGAACAUAAGGAUCUCGUCAUCCCAAAAAACCAUACUGACCAUUACCAAGCAGACCAUUAUCAAGCAGAUCAUUACCUAACAACGUAUUUGAUCUCAUUUUGCCAGACAAGAAUGACAAUAAUGCACUAAUGAUGAAAAUAACAGAGCCAAACAUUUAUAAUGUUGUGCAGAAGCGAGCUGAAUGAGUCAGCAUUUACAAAGGAUUUUACCAUUGAACCACAAAUAUGUGUUUUAAUG